UAUUGCUUUAUAUUGCAAGUGAAGGAACAAGAGCAUUGCCAUUAGGGUUCUUUUUUCUCUCUUUACAUUUCGUGAUGCCAUUGGUUCUUGGUCUUUCGCGAUGCAUAGGUUCUCUCGCUUCCUCAAGGAUUUCGAGGCGAAUUAUUCUUUAUUCUUCAUUCAUCACUCUAUCUUCCUUUCCCUUUUCUGUCUUGUUUUACUUUCACAAUUGUAACAGUUCGUAACUGUUUUGGAAACAAAAGAUGUUGGUGUGUUUUCAGAAGCAGAAUAAUGGUGGGAAAGAAGCUGCUGCUGUUGAUGGAUCCCCUUCGAUGCGUCGACGGUUAUAUUUUUACCUACAAGCCUCUCAUUUUUCGAAGAAUCCAAGUCUUAUCAUCAACGAGAAGGAGGAUGAAGUAUCAUGAAGAGGGUAUCUUUCUUUUGUUCUUUUUCUUUUCCUUGCACGUUAUAAUGGAUUUUCUUGAAAAAAAAAAAAACUUUUUCGCUACAUUAUUAGUUAGUUAAUGGCAAUGCCUCAAGAAUUAAGGAUUUCAAGGCGAAUUAUUCUUCAUUCAUCUCUCUAUAUUUCUCUCCCUUUUCUAUUUUGUUUCCUUUCACAAUUGUACAAGUUCAUAACUGUUUUGGAAAGAAAAAUGUUGGUGUGUUUUCAUAAGUAGAAUAGUGCUGUUGAUGAGUCCCCAUCGAUGCGUUGAUAGUUAUAUUUUUACCUACAAGCCUUCUCAUCUUUGAAGAAGGCAAGCCUUAUCAUCAACGAGAAGGAGGAUGAAGAGGGUGGAAGUGGAAUCUACUACUCUUGUGCCAUUAGGCAAACAACGCAAAAAGUAUUUUUGGUAUUAUUGAUUGCCAAAGGAUCUGUUUAUAUUUUUAAAAUGCUGUAGUUGCGAUGUGAAUUUACUGAUUUAUAAUUAGGGCUUUGCAAAAUGGAAAUAUUAUUGUGCAUCAUUUGUUGAACUUGUUUAUAUAUGUUGGGCUAACCACUGUUUUAAUCAUAUUUGGUAUAGCUUUAUCACUACUACUGCAACAUGUUACUUCUUGGCAUUUGUGUUUUAAGGUUGGUGAUCAAAGCACAGCUUUCAGCAAGUGUGAUUUCAGUCUUCGCUAAGAAUUAUGGGAUAUAUAUUGUUCUGGAUCUAGUAUUUGGAGCCUCAACAAUCUAACGAUCACCCAGUUUCCAAGUCCAAAUCAUCCUUAUAGCCCUCCAAUUGAGGAGCCGUCAACAGUCACGUGUUCGUCUCGGAAUUCUCUAUAAAACACACUCAACAAUUUGGUAAAGAAAUUCUGAUUUUGUGUCCAUUUCUUUCCUUUUCAGUUUCGUGAUUUGAAUUCUUGGUAUUGAGAGAUUUUGUAAUUUUGAUGGUUUAAGGGUACUCUAGUGGUGGAUAAGUAUAAGGGUUUGUCUAAUUAAUCUGCGGGUAAGGUAAGGAAACUCUAAACCCUUGCGGUUAUUCAAUUAUGUGAACCCUAGUUAAUUUGGUGAAUUUCAUGAAAAUAGAUUGAAUUGUGUUGAAUUCGGUGUUGAAUUGGCAAAUUAGAGCUUGUUGGAAUUGAUUUGGAGUCUUGGAAGCUUGAUGUUAGGUGCUUUGACAUUGGGGAGGAAUCGACCAUGGUAUGGUUUCGGUUUCUCGUAGUUAAUAUAUAAUGUUGCGUGAAAACUUAGGUUAGAUUACCAUAGAAUAAGCUUGAAUGUGUUGAGUUGUUGAACUUGAUGGAUUAUAUGUACCUAUGAGUGUGAUGAGUUGUGUGGGUGAAGUGUAUAUAUAAAGUUGAUGCAUGAUAU